rnacentral:rRNA from 1 species
AUUCCUACGGGAGGCAGCAGUCGGGAAUUUUGCUCAAUGGGGGAAACCCUGAAGCAGCAACGCCGCGUGCGGGAUGAAGGCCUUCGGGUUGUAAACCGCUUUUACCAGGGACGAUAAUGACGGUACCUGAUGAAUAAGUCACGGCUAACUACGUGCCAGCAGCCGCGGUAAUACGUAGGUGACUAGCGUUGUCCGGAUUUACUGGGCGUAAAGAGCGCGCAGGCGGUCGUUCAAGUCGAGUGUGAAAGCCCCCGGCUCAACUGGGGAGGGUCAUUCGAUACUGAUCGACUCGAAGGCAGGAGAGGGAAGCGGAAUUCCCGGUGUAGUGGUGAAAUGCGUAGAUAUCGGGAGGAACACCAGUGGCGAAGGCGGCUUCCUGGCCUGUUCUUGACGCUGAGGCGCGAAAGCUAGGGGAGCAAACGGGAUUAGAUACCCCGGUAGUCCUAGCCGUAAACGAUGGACACUAGGUGUUGGUGGUAUCAACCCCACCAGUGCCGAAGCUAACGCAUUAAGUGUCCCGCCUGGGGAGUACGGCCGCAAGGCUAAAACUCAAAGGAAUUGACGGAU